GGAGCUUGCUCCUGUGAUUAGUGGCGAACGGGUGAGUAACACGUGAGUAACCUGCCCCUGACUCUGGGAUAAGCGUUGGAAACGACGUCUAAUACUGGAUAUGACUGCCGGCCGCAUGGUCUGGUGGUGGAAAGAUUUUUUGGUUGGGGAUGGACUCGCGGCCUAUCAGCUUGUUGGUGAGGUAAUGGCUCACCAAGGCGACGACGGGUAGCCGGCCUGAGAGGGUGACCGGCCACACUGGGACUGAGACACGGCCCAGACUCCUACGGGAGGCAGCAGUGGGGAAUAUUGCACAAUGGGCGAAAGCCUGAUGCAGCAACGCCGCGUGAGGGAUGACGGCCUUCGGGUUGUAAACCUCUUUUAGUAGGGAAGAAGCGAAAGUGACGGUACCUGCAGAAAAAGCACCGGCUAACUACGUGCCAGCAGCCGCGGUAAUACGUAGGGUGCAAGCGUUGUCCGGAAUUAUUGGGCGUAAAGAGCUCGUAGGCGGUUUGUCGCGUCUGCUGUGAAAUCCCGAGGCUCAACCUCGGGCUUGCAGUGGGUACGGGCAGACUAGAGUGCGGUAGGGGAGAUUGGAAUUCCUGGUGUAGCGGUGGAAUGCGCAGAUAUCAGGAGGAACACCGAUGGCGAAGGCAGAUCUCUGGGCCGUAACUGACGCUGAGGAGCGAAAGCGUGGGGAGCGAACAGGAUUA
rnacentral:rRNA from 1 species